CCUACGGGUGGCAGCAGUGGGGAAUAUUGCACAAUGGGGGGAACCCUGAUGCAGCGACGCCGCAUGAGCGAGGAAGGAUUUCGGUAUGUAAAGCUCUAUCAGCAGGGACGAAAAAAGACGGUACCUGACUAAGAAGCCCCGGCUAACUACGUGCCAGCAGCCGCGGUAAUACGUAGGGGGCAAGCGUUAUCCGGAUUUACUGGGUGGAAAGGGAGCGUAGACGGGAAGGCAAGCAAGAAGUGAAAGGGAAGGGCUCAACCCUGUACAUGCUUUUGGAACUGUGGUGCUAGAGUGCAGGAGAGGUAAGUGGAAUUCCUAGUGUAGCGGUGAAAUGCGUAGAUAUUAGGAGGAACACCAGUGGCGAAGGCGGCUUACUGGACUGUAACUGACGUUGAGGCUCGAAAGCGUGGGGAUCGAACAGGAUUAGAUACCCUGGUAGUC
rnacentral:rRNA from 1 species